GUGUAAUCCUUCAGGAGCCACAAGAACUUUAAGCCAAGUCAAAAUGAAACACAAAAACAUUCUGCAAAAAGCUAAUGGAAAGAAGACUGAAGCCCGUCUAACUGGCGGGGGCCCACCACCACCUCCCCUCACCCCAUCUGAGGAGCUGGCUCUGUCCCUUAUUAAAGGGCGACCAGUUGUUGCUGGCCUUCCAGGGGGCAGUUCCUCGCACACACCAUGCACCACAAGUGAUGGUGAAAAAAUGGUGAAAUAUACUGAUGGACGAUUGUAUUAUUGGACC